rnacentral:rRNA from 1 species
UGGGGAAUUUUGGACAAUGGGCGAAAGCCUGAUCCAGCAAUGCCGCGUGCGUGAAGAAGGCCUUCGGGUUGUAAAGCACUUUUUGUCCGGAAAGAAAUCCUUGGCUCUAAUACAGUCGGGGGAUGACGGUACCGGAAGAAUAAGCACCGGCUAACUACGUGCCAGCAGCCGCGGUAAUACGUAGGGUGCAAGCGUUAAUCGGAAUUACUGGGCGUAAAGCGUGCGCAGGCGGUUUGCUAAGACCGAUGUGAAAUCCCCGGGCUCAACCUGGGAACUGCAUUGGUGACUGGCAGGCUAGAGUAUGGCAGAGGGGGGUAGAAUUCCACGUGUAGCAGUGAAAAUGCGUAGAGAUGUGGAGGAAUACCGAUGGCGAAGGCAGCCCCCUGGGCCAAAUACUGACGCUCAUGCACGAAAGCGUGGGGGAGCAAAACAGGAUUAGAUACCCUGGUAGUCCCACGCCCUAAACGAUGUCAACUAGUUGUUGGGGAUUCAUUUCCUUAGUAACGUAGCUAACGCGUGAAGUUGACCGCCUGGGGAGUACGGUCGCAAGAUU